UACGUAGGGUGCAAGCGUUGUCCGGAAUUAUUGGGCGUAAAGAGCUCGUAGGCGCCUGUCGCGUCGGCUGUGAAAACCCGGGGCUCAACCCCGGGCCUGCAGUCGAUACGGGCAGGCUAGAGUCCGGCAGGGGAGACUGGAAUUCCUGGUGUAGCGGUGGAAUGCGCAGAUAUCAGGAGGAACACCGGUGGCGAAGGCGGGUCUCUGGGCAGUAACUGACGCUGAGGAGCGAAAGCGUGGGGAGCGAACAGG
rnacentral:rRNA from 1 species